UUUUAUAUUUAAAUCCCGGAUAACCCGCAGCCGCAAACAGGAAAACUACGGGAAAGGAGCAAAAGAAAGCAGGAACAACCAACACACGACAUUUGCCCGAUCAUCCCUUUCUUCUCCCACCACUGCUCUGCGAAAUCAAAGUCACAUCAAGUUUGCUGGUGCUUAUGGGCAUUAGAUGGCCGAGGAUUCUAACACCGAAGCAGCUCUCACAAAUAAUACUGAGUCAGAAGAACCCACUAAAAGCACUUCAAUUUUUUGACGAAGCAAAAUGCAAGUAUCCAACUUACCGUCACAAUGGUCCUGUUUAUGGCACUAUGAUUAAUAUUUUAGGCAGAUCAGGUAGAACAACUGAGAUGAAGGGAAUAAUUAAUCAAAUGAAAGAGGACUCCUGUGAGUGUCAUGACUCAAUAUUUGUGAACGCCAUUAGAAGCUAUGUACAAGCUGGAUUAACAAACGAAGCCAUUUUUCUUUUUAAGUCUCUUCCGGAGUUCAAUUGUAUAGAAUGGACAAGAUCUUUGAAUACUCUUUUGGAGAUAUUGGUAGAAGAAUCUAAGCUAGAAUCUGUUUAUCAGUUAUUCCUUGAGAACUCUUGUGGAUGGGAAGUGAAGUCUCGGGCACAUUUCUUGAAUUUGUUGAUGAAUGCUCUUUGUAGAAUGAAACGCUCUGAUCUUGCAUUGCAUAUUUUCCAAGAGAUGAGUUACCAGAACUGUUAUCCAAACAAAGAGAGUUAUAGGAUCUUGAUGAGGGGUUUAUGUGAAGAAAAGCGGCUCAAUGAGGCUACUCAUCUAUUGUACUCAAUGUUCUGGAGGAUAUCUCAGAAGGGAAGUGGUGAAGAUGUGGUUGUCUAUCGAGCUUUAUUGGAAGCGUUGUGUGAUAAUGAAGAAGGGGAGGAGGCCAUACAAAUUCUUGGUAAGGUAUUGCGCAAAGGACUAAAAGCUCCGAAAAAAUGCUACAAGCAGAUUGAUCUUACUCAAUGCCGGAAUGGAUCAGAUACAGAAAAUAUGAAAGUUUUGAUUAAUGAAGCUUUGAUAAAAGGCAUAGUUCCCAGUUCAGAUAGCUACAGAGCAAUGUCUGUUGACUUUUAUGCCGAAGGCAAGAUUGAUGAAGGUAACAAAGUGCUCAAGGAAAUGCAUGACAGAGGCUUCAAACCGUCAGUGGUGAUUUAUGAAGCAAAGGUAGCUGCUCUUUUCAGGGAUGGCCAGGUUGACGAGGCAAUUAUGGUCAUUGAUUGUGAGAUGGUGCAAAAAAACUGUGUUCCGAAUAUUAGAUUGUAUAAUGUAGUUAUAAAAGGCCUAUGCCAUGAAAGAAAAUCUACUUGUGCUAUUAAGUAUUUGGAAAGGAUGUCUAGGCAAGUAGGUUGCGUGCCAAACUAUGAAACUUAUGAAACUUUGGUAGAUGGGUUAUGUGAAGAUGGUAAAUAUGUUGAAGCAAGCAAGGUGAUGGAGCAAAUGUCAAUUAAUUCCUUUUGGCCUAGAGUUGGAACUUUGAAUUCUCUUAUCCGAGGUCUCUGCCAAGUAGGUGAUUUACACAGUGCAAUUAUGUGUUUGGAGGACAUGAUCUCUCUAGCCUUGACUCCAGAUAUCCAUGUGUGGCAGUCAUUAUUAGGUGCAAUCUGUUGUGAAAACGGUAUGAAUGAGGCUUCUUUCAAGACACUAGAGCAGCUACAGACACCUUAGCAUAGUCUAUAACUACAACUGUAUUGCUGGAUUCCCCCUAUUUCUUUUCUGGAUACAUGAUGAAGCAUUUUUACAAUCCAUUGUUCGCAUUCAGUACCAGCCUUUCAAGGAGUCUUCCGUGUGUUUCUCGGAAUCACUAGCAUACUCUAAAUCUUUUCAAUGUUAUUGAUAAGGAUUAUUGAGGCAUCAUAUUUAUGUUUGUGUUUCUUUGGAUGGCUAGUAUUCAUGCUCUAAAGUAGUCUCUUAUUUGGCAAUCCUUUAUUUCUUACCAGCUGGGUUAUGAACAGCUUGGUAUUUAAGGAAACGAGCUGAAGACAUUUUUGUGCUCUGUUGUACCAUUUCAGUUUUGCUUCUUUUCUUUCCACAAUUGGAGAAGAUAUGGAAAUUUUGUUACAAAUUGAGGAAUUUCUGAUUGGAAAACUUGAAGUUCGUUCUAGCAUUUCUCUUCAAAAUCUUCCUAGGUCCUUAUGUCCUUAGUUGAACUGUUUCAGUUUCCCCUCGAGAUUUCAAAACAAAGAUACAAACAGAUUGUUCUUAAGAUUCAGAAACGUUGAAAUGAGAUGUAGAAAGCAAUAUUUCAUGAUCUUUCUUUUGUGUGUGGGAGCCUGGGAGGUAUGUCCGAAAGAAAGUAAGAAGAAUCCUUUUCGGUUGAUUAGGACGAAGUUCCUUAAAAACCUCCACCUUCUUUAAAAUAUGAACAGUUCCUAUAGGUUGAGCCCCUUUUUCGAGGAAACAUAAAAUAGCAGGCACAUUUAAAUAAGUUUGAUUCUUUAUCAGAUCAUAAAAACCCACUUUCCAAAGAUCUUUUCCUUCUCUUCGGGAUCAAACAUCAAUUGCAAUGACAAGCUAACUUGAACCUGGAUUCCAAAUGAACAAAUUCAAACUUGAAAAGGAUCUUCCUCGAGGUAGAGCUUAAAUCUUGAGUCCUUUUACUAGAGAUGGACUUCUCUUCUGUAGGACAAACUAACUGUGAACAGUACUUUGUAGAUAUCGCGAACAACAAUUAACAAUGAAGUUGAGAAAUGGGGCAAAGGUAUGCAACACCAGUAGUAAUAUAUUGCUAUGGUUUUUUGUCUUUAACCGUGAAUUCAUUGUAUUUGGGAGACAAAAUCCGAUUAUGAUGAUCUCUCAUUUAAUGUGGUUCCCUCUAGAUUUAAAAGUUGUGUAGAGGUUUUAUAAUUAGUUUAUUAAUUGGUGUCAACAAUAAAAAAUGAUUUAGCCUUUUAAUAUCUUAAAACGAAGUAAAUGCACUAUCUAAUCAAUGAAUUAUGUUUCCCAAGUUUUUUCAGAAAAGGCAUAAAAACUAAGUUGCUCGGGCUUUUCACUUUUGGUGCCGCACUUGUGCGACACGACGUGGGAUCCGUACUCGAUCUGGUCAACUAGUUUUGGAUACUUUGACCAAAUUCGAGGGUGAAAUUCUGGAUUCAAUGAUUUUUAUAAUCAGAACAAAUACUAAUGUGAAAUUGAAGAAAAUGAAAUACCUUGUAUAUAUAAAUCUCUAUUGUACUAAAAAGGGCGGGAUAGAGAGGGACGGACGGACAUCGAGGAUCUAUACAAGCACCUGAAUUAUAUGUACUAAAAUUAUGCUAAUGCUAUAGACUCAUAAGCAUCGGAACAUAUACCAAGACACAUACUGAAACAUAAACAAUACUAUAGAAUCCUUAGUGAUUAAUGGAGAAGAGUCUUCAGAUCCUGUUGCAAUCAGAUAUGAAAUUGUGGAUUUUUAUCAGAUUUUGUACAAGGAGACAGAAAGUUGGAGACCAUCUUUAAACAUCUUAGAUGUUCAAACAAUCACAGAAGAAGAACAAAUAUUGUUGUCUAGAGAUUUUGAGGAGGAAAAAGUUUUGGAAGGAAUAAAACAGUGUGCUGUUGAUAAAGCACCUGGACCAGAUGGCUAUACAAUGGCUUUCUUCAGUGUUUUUUGGGAAACUAUCAAAGACGAUGUGAUGCAAACCUUCCACAAAUUUCAUGCUCAUCAAAAGUUUGAAAAGAGUUUUAAUGCCACAUUUGUAGCUUUAAUUCCAAAGAAGGUGGGGGAAAAUGAGCUAAAGGAUUUUAGACCUAUCAGCUUGAUCACAGGGGUAUACAAGAUCAUAGCUAAGGUGCUGGCAGAAAGGU